rnacentral:misc_RNA from 1 species
GGAAGGAUCAUUAACACUUUGAUCACUUGCGUUGGCUUUUGCUCAAGAAGGGUUUCCUUUCUUUGGGUGAGGUUGACGUAAGUGUGUGGAUUAACCUCCAUAACCCCUGUGAACUUGUUCAAGUCUUUAUGACGUGAACUUCAAUCACCCUAAUUGUAUUGUCUUCUGAUUAAAAUAUAAAGGACACGAUGGUAUUUUUCUUCAAACAAAAGAAAGUGCCAUUGGAUUCUUUUUAAUCUUAAAACAACUUUCAACAACGGAUAUCUUGGUUCUCGCAACGAUGAAGAGCGCAGCGAAAUGCGAUACGUAAUGUGAAUUGCAGGAUUCAGUGAAUCAUCAAGACCUUGAACGCAAAUGGUACUACACGGGUUUUCGGAUUCGUGUAGUAUAUCUGUUUGAGUGCUAGUUUGUCUUUAUCAAACCCUAUGUUGUCUUUUUUCAAAAAGACGGGUGGGUGUUUGGAGAGUGACGCUUGUUGCGAACCGUUUUCAUCGGAUCGCAUGCGUUCAAGUGCAUUGCUGUGAGAACGACAUCACAAAAUGGUGAAGUAGUGUGAUUCAGUUCACUCAAUAAAUACCCGCCAAUUUGUUGUUGUAAUUCAAAACUCGCGGCUUCGCAGGAAAUAAAUCAAACUUAUCAAAUAGCCUCAAAUCAGAUAAGACUACCCGCUGAAUUUAAGCAUAUUAAUAAGCGGAGGAAAAGAAACUAACAAGGAUUCCCCUAGUAACGGCGAGCGAAGAGGGAAAAGCUCAAAUUUAAAAUCUGCGGUCUUUGGCCGUCGAAUUGUAGUUUAGAGAGGCGCUGUCUGUGGUCGCUCAGGCCUAAGUCCCUUGGAACAGGGUAUCAUAGAGGGUGAGAAUCCCGUAUAUGGCUUGAUGACGGCUGCUCUACGCGGUGUCCUCAACGAGUCGGGUUGUUUGGGAAUGCAGCCCUAAAUGGGUGGUAAAUUUCAUCUAAAGCUAAAUAUUGGCGAGAGACCGAUAGCGAAAAAGUACCGUGAGGGAAAGAUGAAAAGAACUUUGAAAAGAGAGUGAAACAGUGCUUGAAAUUGUUGAAAGGGAAGCGACUGAGACCAGUGUUGCACGCGGCCUUAUCAGUCUUUGACCGUGAGUUGUGGGGGUGGAGGCACCGCAAGGGCCUUGCUUUUACAUACGGAGCGGUUGGGGAUGCACUAGGGUUGUGGGCGGUCAGCAUCGGCUCGGGUCUGCGGGAAAAAACCGACUGGAAGGUGGCCACCCACGGGUGGUGUUAUAGCCAGCGCGUCUACCGUGACCUGGGCCGAGGCAAACAUCUGUUGUACGGUGCACGCCUAGCGAAUGGCCGCGAUUGCUGGGUUGGCUGGAUGGGACGUAGAGCAAGCUGUACGCCUGUCCAGUUGAUCCACUCUGUUGCGGCGAUUUCAGUGCGCCCAAGAUGCUGACAAAAUGGUCCCCAUCGACCCGUCUUGAAACACGGACCAAGGAGUCUAACAUAUGUGCGAGUGUUAAGGUGACAAACCUGUGAACGCGUAAUGAAAGUAAACGUAGGUGGGAACCGAAAGGUGCACCAUCGACCGAUCUGGAUUUUUUUGAAAGAUUUGAGUAUGAGCAUAUCUGUUGGGACCCGAAAGAUGGUGAACUAUGCCUGAAUAGGGUGAAGUCGAGGGAAACCUCGAUGGAAGCUCGUAGCGAUUCUGACGUGCAAAUCGAUCGUCAAAUUUGGGUAUAGGGGCGAAAGACUAAUCGAACCAUCUAGUAGCUGGUUCCCUC